rnacentral:rRNA from 1 species
AGCAGCCGCGGUAAUUCCAGCUCCAAUAGCGUAUAUUAAAGUUGUUGCAGUUAAAAAGCUCGUAGUUGAACUUCGGGAUCAAUGGAUUGGUCAUGCCGAUGGUAUGUACUGGUCAUAUUGGUUCUCACCUUCUAAGGAACCAUGAUGUCAUCCACUUGGUGUUGUGGGGAAUUAGGACUGUUACCUUGAAAAAUUAGAGUGUUUAAAGCAGGCUAACGCUUGAAUACAUUAGCAUGGAAUAAUGAAAUAGGACAUCGCAUUCUAUUUUGUUGGUUUCUAGGAUCGAUGUAAUGAUUAAUAGGGAUAGUUGGGGGCAUUAGUAUUCAAUUGUCAGAGGUGAAAUUCUUGGAUUUAUUGAAGACUAACUACUGCGAAAGCAUUUGCCAAGGAUGUUUUCAUUAAUCAAGAACGAAAGUUAGGGGAUCGAAGACGAUCAGAUACCGUCGUAGUCUUAACCAUAAACUAUGCCGACUAGGGAUCGGAUGAUGUUAAUUUUUAAUU